rnacentral:misc_RNA from 1 species
AAAAAACACAAUAUAACUAAUUGAUUCAUGGCACUCUUACAGACUUUUACCAUUUAGGUUGCAGCACUCAAAUAUUUAAAAAUAUAUACAUAUAUAUAUAUAUCCUAAGUGCCAAAAUGGUUACUCAAAGUAACUAAUAACAAUAUGAAAGUGAACUUUGUACAAAAAAGACUAGGAUCAUAUCAGGCACAAACAGAAAUUUGUGGUUCAUGGACUGUAGUAGGAAGGGCCACACUUGCAUUUCCAUCCCUCAGGCUCAUAAUUUGCAUAAUUGACACCCAAAUGGCUAUGGUUUUUGCUAGUUGUGGGCACUUGGAUUGCUUCACAUGGAGUGCAGCCAAAGCACUUGUGUUCACAGCUUGGUGGACUUGACCCAAUUUUGCUCAACCCUUUAGCAUAUGCUUCUUCUCCCAUGCUUUUAAUAUCUUGUUUAGAGACCAUCUGGGAACCUAAGUUUGAGCCCAAAAUAACUUGUGAAGACUCUGGACUCUCUCCCGGUUGAUUCACACCAACACCAUUAUUAGGUGCAAAAGGUCUGCUUGUCCCAGAAACAAAACUCAGUAUUUGCAGAACUAAUACAAAACAAAUAAGUCUUGCCUCCAUGUGCUUAAUUAGAAUCUCCGGUGAUGAUGGUGACUAUGAUUGAAAAUUUGUUUGAGAGAGAAAGAGGGAAGCUUUUGAUUCACUCACUCACUUUAGGCGGCCAUGCAUGAUCUCUGCUGGGAUAUAUGGAGGUGGAAAAUCCUAAGAAAUUCACUCCCAUUUCCCAAAAAGCAACCCACAGAACCUCCAAAAUUUUCUUGGGAUACUCCUUCGCUUCUGUUAGAUUGUACUGGUAGAGCUACUGAUAUUGCUUCACAAACAAGUGAUUCUAGUUUCUUGUCAGUUAGUGAGAAACGCCUGUAAGUUUCUCUUUCCUUGACAACUCACUUGAAAAACCUUAUCCUCAAUCUGUUUUCUAUGUCGUUCCUCCUCUAGUCUUUGAUUUCUUUACCUUUCAACACAAGCCAACCCUCUCUCUACUUCCUUUUUUUCUCUCUCAAAAUCAGCCUAGAAAAGCAGUUUAGAAGAUUGUUCAUUUCCACAAAAUAACAGCUCCUCCUUUUGGGGUCUGGGAAAUCUGCAGGGACCCCAUAAAUCACUGAUGAUAAUACAAAAGAAAAUCUUUGCUACCCCCUAGGCUACAGAGCCUUUUUCUUUUCCCUGAUAGUUUCAUUCCCAUAAAAGGAAGAAAAAAAAAAACCAGUGGCAGGGACCCAUUUACAUAAAAAGAAAUGAGGAGGACAGCUACAGGAUGUCCUGCAUCAAUGUCUCAGACAUGCAGGACUGCUACAGAAUCUUUAAUGAGUUAGUUAAUAAAUUAAAUAAAGGGCACUAGGGUCAACCUUUCACAGGUUGGAAGGUGGGGAACAUGCAGAAGGAUGUGCCAUAAGCCAAUCUGCACCAUCCAUUUGGACCAUCAGCUAUGAUGCCAAUUAAAUACAUUUUGUGGUCCUCGUUACCUUUCUGGUAUCUCCAGACGUGCACAUUCAAUGAGGAACUUGAUUCUAUUCCAUGACACACUAUCAACAUUUAUCUUUAGAUUGAAGAACUUAAGCAUCUGUUGCUGCUAAACCACCAGGUAGCAGCUAAGCGAGCGUAUAAAACUAGUCAAUUUUGAGGUGUGAGCUGUGAAGCAAGCUCUUGAUUACUCCAAUUCCUUGAUGUCUCUCUCUUCAGCUGGUGAGUGUAGCUGAUAUCCUGAUAGUGACACGUAUUACCUGUGUGUGAUAGUCUCCAAUUGGGUAUGUGCAUAUGAGAGUGAACUUUCCCAAAUGAGGGACUUUUGGUGGGUUCAGAAACUUUUGGUGGGUUCAGAAAUGUUAUAAAAGAUUCAGUGAAACAUCAACAAGAUACGUAAAAGGAAAGUUCAAGUCUUUAAUAAAUUGCUAUAUAAUUGGUCCAAUAAAUGCUCAUUGAUACUUGUGUUGAUUAGAGUGAUUUGAUCAUUCAAUGUGCUGUACCAUCCCCAGUAAGCACUACUUUUUAC